rnacentral:rRNA from 1 species
GCGCUGACGAGUGGCGGACGGGUGAGUAACGCGUAGGAAUCUGCCUUAUAGUGGGGGACAACGUGGGGAAACCCACGCUAAUACCGCAUACGCCCUACGGGGGAAAGGAGGGGAUCUUCGGACCUUUCGCUAUGAGAUGAGCCUGCGUUAGAUUAGCUUGUUGGUGGGGUAAAGGCCUACCAAGGCGACGAUCUAUAGCUGUUCUGAGAGGGUGAUCGGCCACACUGGAACUGAGACACGGUCCAGACUCC